rnacentral:rRNA from 1 species
CAGUCGCCGCGGUAACACGAAGGGUGCAAGCGUUAAUCGGAAUUACUGGGCGUAAAGCGUGCGUAGGCGGUGAGUUAAGUCUGCUGUGAAAUCCCCGGGCCCAACCUGGGAAUGGCAGUGGAUACUGGCAAGCUAGAGUGUGUCAGAGGAUGGUGGAAUUCCCGGUGUAGCGGUGAGAUGCGUAGAUAUGCGGAGGAACACCGAUGGCGAAGGCAGCCCCCUGGGCCAAUACUGACGCUCAUGCACGAAAGCGUGGGGAGCAAACAGGAUUAGAUACCCCGGUAGUCCCUGUCUCUUAUAC